GAUUGAUGGUGCUUGCACCUGAUUGACGAUGGAUUACCAGUGAGUGGCGGACGGGUGAGUAACACGUAGGUAACCUGCCCCGGAGCGGGGGAUAACAUUUGGAAACAGAUGCUAAUACCGCAUAACAACAAAAGCCACAUGGCUUUUGUUUGAAAGAUGGCUUUGGCUAUCACUCUGGGAUGGACCUGCGGUGCAUUAGCUAGUUGGUAAGGUAACGGCUUACCAAGGCGAUGAUGCAUAGCCAAGUUGAGAGACUGAUCGGCCACAAUGGAACUGAGACACGGUCCAUACUCCUACGGGAGGCAGCAGUAGGGAAUCUUCCACAAUGGGCGCAAGCCUGAUGGAGCAACACCGCGUGAGUGAAGAAGGGUUUCGGCUCGUAAAGCUCUGUUGUUGGAGAAGAACGUGCGUGAGAGUAACUGUUCACGCAGUGACGGUAUCCAACCAGAAAGUCACGGCUAACUACGUGCCAGCAGCCGCGGUAAUACGUAGGUGGCAAGCGUUAUCCGGAUUUAUUGGGCGUAAAGCGAGCGCAGGCGGUUGCUUAGGUCUGAUGUGAAAGCCUUCGGCUUAACCGAAGAAGUGCAUCGGAAACCGGGCGACUUGAGUGCAGAAGAGGACAGUGGAACUCCAUGUGUAGCGGUGGAAUGCGUAGAUAUAUGGAAGAACACCAGUGGCGAAGGCGGCUGUCUGGUCUGCAACUGACGCUGAGGCUCGAAAGCAUGGGUAGCGAACAGGAUUAGAUACCCUGGUAGUCCAUGCCGUAAACGAUGAGUGCUAGGUGUUGGAGGGUUUCCGCCCUUCAGUGCCGGAGCUAACGCAUUAAGCACUCCGCCUGGGGAGUACGACCGCAAGGUUGAAACUCAAAGGAAUUGACGGGGGCCCGCACAAGCGGUGGAGCAUGUGGUUUAAUUCGAAGCUACGCGAAGAACCUUACCAGGUCUUGACAUCUUGCGCUAACCUUAGAGAUAAGGCGUUCCCUUCGGGGACGCAAUGACAGGUGGUGCAUGGUCGUCGUCAGCUCGUGUCGUGAGAUGUUGGGUUAAGUCCCGCAACGAGCGCAACCCUUGUUACUAGUUGCCAGCAUUAAGUUGGGCACUCUAGUGAGACUGCCGGUGACAAACCGGAGGAAGGUGGGGACGACGUCAGAUCAUCAUGCCCCUUAUGACCUGGGCUACACACGUGCUACAAUGGACGGUACAACGAGUCGCAAACUCGCGAGAGUAAGCUAAUCUCUUAAAGCCGUUCUCAGUUCGGACUGUAGGCUGCAACUCGCCUACACGAAGUCGGAAUCGCUAGUAAUCGCGGAUCAGCAUGCCGCGGUGAAUACGUUCCCGGGCCUUGUACACACCGCCCGUCACACCAUGGGAGUUUGUAACGCCCAAAGAA
rnacentral:rRNA from 2 species